AUGGAAAUGUUCCAUGGCUUGAAGAGGUGGAGAGGAUGUGGGAGAUGCAUUCUUUGAAAAGAGACACAUAGACAUGAAAUGGGAAUUUCCAUAAGCAAUUUAGGAGAAGGAGGACUUCUGAAUGCUUGUACUUAGAAUUAUUUGCAAUGUCUUCCCUAAUUCAAGGGUAGUUUGUCUUAUCCUUGGAUAAGAUACGAUUGGAUUGCCUGGAAAAAGAGAGGGUAGCCAUGCACUGACGUAGCAGAAGUAGAGCUGCUGAGGCCAACAAGGAACCUUUGGGAUUGCUCCUGGCCGUGGAUGUUUGGCAUGUCCCUGACAGCCGAGCUGUACAUGCUCAGACAUGCUCCCCCAGCCUGGGCUUUGGGCUCCCACGGCCCCUGCAGAGCACUGGGAGGAGCUGGGGCUGAAGGCCUGAGCUCUGCUCUCUCAGCUCUAAGCCCUGGGGAAGCGUCCCUGACCCUGCUCUGUGCACAGUUUUCUCUUGAAUGCCUCACGUGGGAAAUGCCCCAAUGUGGGGAAUGCUCGUGAGGCUGUUUGCAAGAGCAGUUCCUGGCUUGCUUGCUGUGCCCGUUGCUUUGGCAGGCUCCUGGGGGUUGGAUGUUGGUGCUCAUUGCUUCUGGCCGGGCUUAUGGCUGCUUUGGAACUACUGUGGUCUCACACCAUUGUUGUCCUUCGAUACAGAUAUGCUGUUCUCAGUGCUUGCUGCCUGCAUACCUCUAUGUUCGUGCUGCUCUCUGGGUGGUGAGGCUCUCCCUGGGCUCUGGCAGUGACUCAGCUUCGUCUCCUCGGGGUGUGCUCCUCACAGCCUGCCUUGUUAUCUCUUAGCAAUCCCACGCUGAUCCAUAGAGGAUCCAUGUGUGUGCUGGGAGCAAGCUGGUACGGCGCCUUCAGUGCUCGCUCCCUGCACCUUUCUCUCUUACUGUGCCUUCAUCACAGCUUGCUCCCAGGGCAGGGCAUCAGCUGCCUUCUGGAAGCACAGCUGUUGUCCUUAGAGGAAUCGGUGUUCUUAUUUCAAAAUGGAAAUCUAACCACAACUCCCCAAAACCAAACCCCAAACCCCCAGCCCUCGUGGGCAGCCUCGUGUAGUCUGAUGGGGGUGAUGGUCUCUGUGAGAUCUUCCUCUGCUUUCCCAUUUAGCCCCAUCACGUCAGCUGUUCUUUGAACCUUGCUCUGAAAUGUCAGCGGGGGGUUGCCCUCAUUUCAGUGCUCUGUCUCAUGCUGUCGCUUGUGGGUUUUGCUGUAUAGGCUGGGCAAGUGAACUGGGGGAAAAAACCCACAAAAACCAAUCAAAACACACAGAUUCUGUAAUUGCUUUGGAAUCUGACGAGCAGCAGAUGGCUCUGUGCUCUUUGCAAGCACCCAUCCUCUGCAUACCGAGGACUAGCUACGUCAUGUUGUUCAACAAGCCACAGAAAUUAUAUUUUAAUCCAACCUUGCUUCCCCCUUCCUCCUCCCCCACCCCCCGUGGUUUGUUGUUGCACUCAGUAGCUUGCCAUAAUGCAUUUCGUCCUGCCUGCCUCUGAUUGGAAACACAAGACACGACUUCAUUACAAGCUCUAUGGCUUCCCCCUACACUUAACAUACCGUACAAAUUGUUUGCUCAACUUUGGCAUCUUGCCUCAGAGGAAUUUUUGUCAUUUGAAGGUUUUAAAUCGGCUAUUUGAGCCACUCACAAUUGUAAAUAAUAGCCUAUUAGUUUAUAAGAGACGUACUUGCUGGCAUUUCAAACCUCUCAGAGGGAUCACACUGUCUUGGAAACCCUGUAACGCCUAUGGAACUGAGCACUGUUUAAAGAAACCCCCAAACGCUGCCCUGGGAAAAUUCAUUUAUAGAAAAUAAGCGAAACGAAUAGAUGUUUUUAGCCACAUGUUACUCAUUUUCUUUUUAUUGCUUUAACAUGUCUUCACUGGAACAUGUUUCCAUUGGAGGCUGCUGGUGCCAGCUGUACACCUGGCUCAAGUUGGAAAGAAAUGGAGUUUGGCCUUUCAUCUUCGCUGUUUUCUGUUAUGAUUGGAACUGAGGGUUGGCCCCAGAUCAGACAAAGGGUGAGCUGAAAACCAUCCUCAGAGCUGGUUUCUAGAGGAAGCCUUAUAGGGUUGUGUGUGGGGGGUUUGGCUUUUUUUUUCUCCUCUCCCUUUUUGGAGCUCUUGUAUUGAGUUUAUAUACUGGCAGAGGCAGGAAACCAUUGUGUACAAUAUGGCAAACAGAGCUAACAGGCAGUCAGGCCAGAGGCUAUAAAUUAUUAUUUUAAUUUCUUGGUUUAUGGUUUCUUGUUGACUCCAGAUCAAUAGGAAAAAGAUGCAUUGAGCCACCUCUUUUAAUUAAAAAGGCUUCUGUGAUUAGGCUCUAGUGAGGGAUGAAGAGGCGCGUGAAGAGGAUGUGUCUGGAAGCAGAUGGUGGUUUCCAGGGGGAGGAAUGUUGCUUUCCCCUGUGCUGCAUCAGCCGCUCAUUUUCUAGUGGCCAACUUUCUGGAGGAGCUAUGGGAGAAACCCAACUGCAGCGCAGCACACUUCACCGAGCUUUCUUCCAGCCUGGUUUGUGUUUGCAUCCUCACAUCCCGAGCCAGCGGACCUUGUUUCCCAUCGAAUAAAAAAGCACUGUAUUUUAGCAGACUCUUGUGCUUAUUUUAAAACAACUCCAGCUUCAUUUCACCCCAAACGUGGGCCACUUGCCCCAUAGUGCUGAGAAAUCGUUGGCGUUUGGUGCCUAACAGGUGCAGCAAUGUUUUUCUUUCCAAAGAAUUUCCACAGCGAAAUGCACAUCUGUAACAAAGCCUGUGUUUUUCUGCUCAUCACCCUCAGACACGGCCGUAAUUAAAUGCAGAUAUUAAUACCGAGGGCUACUUUGUGUUCCAUAAUCCGUAGGAGAAUGACCCAUUGCACGGCGCUCGUUUGAAGUCUUAGUUAACCUUUAAUCGUUUGAUGCUGAGUCUGGCUUUGAUUUUCACAGCAGAAGAAGUGCGUUUUGCAAAACCUUCAGGAAGGAAACGUGCCAAUCCCACAGUAUUUCUCAUCGUGCUGUGGACGUUACUGUCAAAACCUCUCGGGCAACGCUGUGAGCAGUGAGGGCUUUUUCCAUUCCUCGCUUGCGCUCUGCCUCUUGUAAGGCAGCAUCGGAGUAAUGGCUUAAAUGCUGCUAACGUUUGUUUUGCUGAAGGAGACCUGGGCCGGUAGAGCAGGGCGGCGUGGCGCAGGUCUCAGAUGUGGAAUUUCCUCAGCACGAAGGUAUGCGGAGUAGGUUCUUGAGGGAACGCUUACAGGUGUUCAGAAAAGCAGAAGUAGAAAGGUUAAACCUUCAGUGCAUUCCACGAUAAAAGCGGAGCCAACAGCCCUUCAGAAGCAUGUCAGCUUGUUUGUUUUUGCCUUGUGGGAGGUGCUGUUUAACCGGCGCUGAGCUGGCAGAUAAGGCGGUGCUGCCAUGCUGCGGAGAGGUGAAGAAUUCCCCUCGCCCGCUCCCACCCGGCGCGCUGUGUGAGCUCGAGCUGCUGUAAUAAAAGUCUGCCCUCCGCAGUGGGUUUGGCCCAGAGCCUGGGAGCUGGGAGCGGGGCUUCCCUCGGCUGUGCAAACCUGGGGGCUGUCUCCCUGCCUGUGCAACUCCAUAGCCUGCGUUUGACUGCUGUGCUGCCCUGAUCUGCUCAAACUGGGCCUUCUAGCGCUCCCCACCUCCUGAAUUUUUUGUCUCCGUGCCAGCACUUCCUUUUCACCACAAUUCCUACCCUGUAACUAUCACAGCUGACUCCUUCUCCAAAGAAUAGGAAAUAAACUCCCUUACCUCCAGCCAAGACCUGAUAACUGCUGAUAAGUGGCUUGUCAGCAGGGGCUGAGCCAGGCGCUGGUCACUGCUGGACUCGGGUCCUGAACCCUUCUGAGAGGUAACGGCUGAUGGAAGCCAAGGAAGCAGAAAGCUGUGCAAAGAAGGACUUGGAAGGGAAAUGUGAUAACUUUACAGAGGAGACUAAUGACCACAUGUUGAUGAAAUACUGCUGCGGGCCCAUCUGGAACUGACGUGCGUCUUUGAGAAACAGCUGGGCUGUUAGCUUUUUAGGAUCAAAGCUUCUCACAUUUGGUCCCUGUUCUUGAAGAAGCGCAAGUGUUUCCACUGCAGACAUGAGCGAUUCUGGCUCUGCUCCCUGCCACCCAUCCCCAGAUCCACUUUGUGAGCG
ensembl:lncRNA